CCCUUAGAUGUCCUGGGCCGCACGCGCGUUACACUGAUGCAUUCAACGAGCUUAUAACCUUGGCCGAGAGGCCUGGGCAAUCUUGUUAACGUGCAUCGUGAUAGGGAUAGAUUAUUGAAAUUAUUAAUCUUGAACGAGGAAUUCCUAGUAAACGCAGAUCAUCAAUCUGCAUUGAUUACGUCCCUGCCCUUUGUACACACCGCCCGUCGCACCUACCGAUUGGAUGGUCCGGUGAAGCCUCGGGAUUGUGGUUCUUGCCGCUUUAUUGUGGCGUGACCGCGAGAACUUGUCUAAACCUUACCAUCUAGAGGAAGGUGAAGUCGUAACA
rnacentral:rRNA from 1 species